GUUGAGAAGGGAGGGCGAGAGGUGUGGUGUGAAAUCAAUUAAUUAUUCAAUAUUGGUGCAUCUUUUUCAUUUUUGUUCUUUUGACAACAUGGUACGAGCAUAAAAUUACUUUUGAAUGCAAAGGAACUAACAUAUUUUCUAUAUAUAUAAAAAAAGGAAGUAGCAUAUUAAUAUUAUAGCGAACCACAAAAAAAUAUUCUGAUUCGAAGUUUGACAAUUGCCGCUAAGGCAUCAAAACAUUUCAUUAUAUGCAAAUUCUGCUACAUAUGCCUUUCAUCAACUAUAAAUACGCUGUCUUGAUUCAAUCUAGUUUUCAAAGGGCAUUAAGUUUUAACUGAUUAUCAAGAAAGAAGAAGAAUUUAUCUAUCAAAAAAACUCAGAGCAAGAUGGCAUCAUGUCAAGAGAAGACUCAGUGGCCCGAGCUUGUGGGAGAAAAUGGGAAUGAAGCAGCAAAAAUCAUUGAGAAGGAGAAUCCUUGUCUGCAUGCUAUUGUUCUCUUAAUAGGAAGUAUCGUUACGCACGACUACAGGGCUGAUCGAGUUCGAAUUUUCGUUGAUUGCAAUGGCAUCGUCGGCCCCAUUCCUAUAAUUGGUUAAUUUAAUUAGCUACUAUAAUAGUAAUGCAUAACUAUAUGUAUGUGCAUGCUAUAUGUGUAACGCUAUAAUGGCUAUGUUUCAUCUUGGUUUUCAUGCUUUCAGCUACUUAAAUAGUGUAUAAUAAGAUCCAUGUCAUAUAUUGAUUAUGGUUUACGUCGAUCUAAAAGAAUCGAAUAUAUAUAUAUAAUUAAGUUA